rnacentral:rRNA from 1 species
CACGUAGUUAGCCGGUGCUUCUUCUACCACUACCGUCACCCCAAAGAGGCUUCGUCAUGGCUGAAAGGAGUUUACAACCCGAAGGCCGUCAUCCCCCACGCGGCGUCGCUGCAUCAGGCUUGCGCCCAUUGUGCAAUAUUCCCCACUGCUGCCUCCCGUAGGAGUCUGGGCCGUAUCUCAGUCCCAAUGUGGCCGUCCACCCUCUCAGGCCGGCUACCCGUCGACGCCUUGGUAGGCCAUUACCCCACCAACAAGCUGAUAGGCCGCGAGCUCAUCCCUUACCGAAAAAAUCUUUCCACCACACCACCUACAGCAUGGUCCUAUCCAGUAUUAGACCCAGUUUCCCAGGCUUAUCCCAAAAGUAAGGGGCAGAUCACCCACGUGUUACUCACCCGUUCGCCACUCGAGCACCCUGCAAAGCAGGGCCUUUCCGUUCGACUUGCAUGUGUUAAGCACGCCGCCAGCGUUCGUCCUGAGCCAGGAUCAAACUCU